rnacentral:rRNA from 1 species
UGGGGAAUAUUGGACAAUGGGGGCAACCCUGAUCCAGCCAUGCCGCGUGGGUGAAGAAGGCCUUCGGGUUGUAAAGCCCUUUUGUACGGGAAGAAAAGCUUCUGGUUAAUAACCGGGAGUCAUGACGGUACCGUAAGAAUAAGCACCGGCUAACUUCGUGCCAGCAGCCGCGGUAAUACGAAGGGUGCAAGCGUUACUCGGAAUUACUGGGCGUAAAGCGUGCGUAGGCGGUAUGUUAAGUCUGAUGUGAAAUCCCCGGGCUCAACCUGGGAAUGGCAUUGGAUACUGGCAGGCUAGAGUACGGUAGAGGGUGGUGGAAUUCCCGGUGUAGCAGUGAAAUGCGUAGAGAUCGGGAGGAACAUCUGUGGCGAAGGCGGCCACCUGGACCAGUACUGACGCUGAGGCACGAAAGCGUGGGGAGCAAACAGG